rnacentral:rRNA from 1 species
UACGUAGGUGACAAGCGUUGUCCGGAUUUACUGGGCGUAAAGAGCGCGCAGGCGGUCGAUCAAGUCGAGUGUGAAAGCCCCCGGCUCAACUGGGGAGGGUCAUUCGAUACUGAUCGACUCGAAGGCAGGAGAGGGUAGUGGAAUUCCCGGUGUAGCAGUGAAAUGCGUAGAUAUGCGGAGGAACACCGAUGGCGAAGGCAAUCCCCUGGGCCUGCACUGACGCUCAUGCACGAAAGCGUGGGGAGCAAACAGG